UUCUUACGGAUAAGCAAAGAAAGUGGUUUGAGCCUCAGGAAACCACUUUCUUUGCUCAUCUGUAAGGA
ncrna:Macaca mulatta (Rhesus monkey) microRNA mml-mir-1255b precursor